GGGGGCGUUUAGAUUCGACAGGGUUGUUGGGUCGUUGGCUGCAGGUCGAGGUUGCUUGGAUCCUCGUAAAAAGCUGAGCAAAAAAACAAACGCCAAUAAUGUAAUCAGCGUUGAUUUCUCUGCUAAGCGCGCUUUGCGCGCUGCCUAAAAACUUAGUUUUUAGAUAAAGCAGAACUCGAUAGUUUCUUGACUACCCGAAACUAAAGGGUUAAACCAUGGUGGUUGCCACAGGGCAAAGUUAGCGGUUGCUAGCCCUGUCUAAGACAUAAUCGUGACCCCGGGCGGCUGUUCAAGCCGACUGCAGCGGGCUGAGCAAUCAGCGUCUGCAGAAGUGUUGAACUAAACUUGUAGAUGCUUGCCUCUCGGUUUCUUUGGACGCGAGUGCGAUUCUCGCCGCCUCCACCA
rnacentral:tmRNA from 1 species